rnacentral:rRNA from 1 species
UACGUAGGGGGCUAGCGUUGUCCGGAAUCAUUGGGCGUAAAGCGCGUGUAGGCGGUCCGGUAAGUCCGCUGUGAAAGUCGAGGGCUCAACCCUCGAAUGCCGGUGGAUACUGUCGGGCUUGAGUACGGGAGAGGCGAGUGGAAUUCCUGGUGUAGUGGUGAAAUGCGUAGAUAUCGGGAGGAACACCAGAGGCGAAGGCGGCUUUCUGGCUGCUAACUGACGCUGAGGCGCGAAGGCUGGGGUAGCGAACAGG